UAAACCAGAGAGACUGAGCAGCUUGCGUGUUCGUAAACUGGGUCACUUGUGAGCACACGGAACGAAGGGAGGGGAAAGGGGAGAGGGCAGUUUCCAAAGUAAUUUGUCUAUUUGUGAGGUUUUAUUCUGAAUGGACUUGAUUUGACCUUCUAGCUCUCAUGAUACAACCUUACACAUUCACACAGUCAAAGCUAUGAAUGGGUUACAUUCCUCCUAACGAAGGUGAUUACCUUAACACUCCAAUAGACUUCUGCGCGGAGGUUCCUUUAGCUCCUUCAAUCGACGGUGCAUCCUCAUAUGACUAAAAGAACACAAUGUGCAGAAAAACAUGAGCACUCUAAACUGCAGGAAAGAAGAAAAGAAAAUGCAUCACAAAAUAUUUUUUAAGGAUGGACACAUAGUCCCCAGUCUUCACAGCUUGUACUCACAUUGGAGGAACUGACAAACUCCAGUCUACCCAGACUUAGAGCAUCUCUGAGAUAUCAGAUCCUGUCUGGAAUGUGGGAAGAGAAUUCUGCAGGGGAGUCCAAGGAACCCAAACAUCAAUCCACAUAACGCUGCAGUCCAGCAAAUCUCACUACAGAGAAAAGUUCUGGGAAGAAUGAGUUGUCAGCAGACAUUUAGGGGAAACAACAUUGAUGUGGCCACAAAAAUAUCUUCAUAACUACCGGGUCAAGCAUUCUCUUUGAUUUUUACCAAGGGGAAAAUAUGUAUAUAUCUUCUGUCAGAAGAAAAGCUUGGAGUGAAUAAAUCAGUUCAAGCAGGAUGUACUGGGUGUCUACCAGCAUCAGACUCAAUGCCAGAUACUGCAUUGCACUAUCAGGAGGUCAGGAAAGGCUCAGGGAUGUCUACUCAAGUAAUAGCAUGACAGAAAAAAAAAUGUUCUAAUUUAAAAUAUAAAAUGCAUGCAUUCUUCCUCAUUCUGUUAUAUAAUAAGGCUCUGUAUACUUAAAAGCAACACAAGCAAAUAUACGACAUCUUCCUAUGUUCUUUCUCUACCACUAUCCUUCUCUCUUCCCUACUUUGUUCAUUUCUCUCACACCUUACCCCCUUUUCUUUCACUUUAUCUUAUUUCAUCCUUUUCAACUUCUUCCUCUUCCUCCUCUUAUGUUUCCCCUU